AAAAAAAAAAAAAAAAAAAGUCAUGGCAGAAGCAGAGCUGAAUAGCAGAGAAAAGAGAUGGUCUCUCAAGGGAAUGACUGCUGUUGUCACCGGAGGAACAAGAGGCAUAGGGUAUGGUUGGUAACUCAAAUUAAUUAACAAUUAUUUUCCUUCUUUCAAUCUGACUAAUAACUUGCUUUGAUUUAAAUUAACUGUUUGGAGAUACCUACUGCAAGGUUAGGCAUGCUAUAGUAGAAGAAUUAGCAGGAUUUGAAGUGGCAGUGCACACGUGUUCACGCAAUCAAAAAGAGCUUGAUCAAUGUUUACAGGAAUGGAAAAACAAAGGUUUCAAAGUUACUGGGUCUGUCUGCGAUGUAUCUCAUCGAGACCAAAGGGAGAAACUCAUGCGGACUGUCUCCUCCAUCUUUAAUGGAAAACUCAACAUUCUUGUCAAUAACGCAGGGACAACUAUAGCUAAAGAUGCAGUGGAGCAAAGUCCUGAAGACAUAUCCUUCGUAAUGGGAAUCAAUUUUGAGUCUAGUUAUCAUCUGUGCCAACUUUCACACCCUCUUUUAAAGGCAUCAGGAAAUGGAAGCAUUGUCAAUAUUUCUUCCAUUGCAAGCAUUGUUGCUGCUCCUAAAUCGGCCAUCUAUGCAGCUUCUAAAGGAGCAUUGAAUCAAAUCACAAAAAGCUUGGCAUGUGAGUGGGCAAAGGAUAUGAUUCGCGUUAAUGCAAUUUUACCAGGGCUAAUUGAUACCUCACUCGUCGACAACCUAAUGGAAAUUCCUGAAUUGGCUGAUUUUUUUUAUCGAUUAACUUGUCGAAUCCCCAUGUGUCGGCCUGGAAAGCCUAAUGAGAUUUCACCAUUAGUGGCAUUCCUUUGCUUCCCUGCUGCUUCCUAUAUAACUGGUCAGGUUAUUACUGCUGAUGGAGGAUUUACAGUGAAUGGAUUUUGCCUUCCAAAUAAUAAAAAAAAAUAAAUCUUUCUAGAUUGUAAAAAGCCAGAUAGUAUCUAAUUAAAUAAUCAACGUUUCAGUUUGUAAUGAAGCCAAAUUGUAAUUUUUUUUUUAUUGUGUUAUCAUUAAUUAAUUUAUUAUCUUGUUCCUUGUAUUAUUUUAAAAUAAGCAUAUGUUGAUGCAAUAUUGUUUUAUUGAGCAUCCAUAGUUUAUGUUAGCAUAUUAAGCCAUGGAUCAAAAGUUCAA
rnacentral:misc_RNA from 1 species